rnacentral:lncRNA from 1 species
CCAAAGAGCACAGCCGAAGGCCACCAAUGAGUCUUCAACACAACGAGAAAAUCCCGCAACCAGAGGCGGGCUUCAGCUGGUCUCUAAAUAAAAAUAUAUACUAGUAAUGUGAAAAUGGACGUCACACUUAACUUAGAUAAAAAAAAAACAUAAAAAAACUAACAAAGAUCAGAGUCUCCUGUCUUGGGACAGGCGCAAAAAUACGGCGGGGCUAAACAUGCUUUGUGAGAUCUCAACCCUCCCGCUAUACAACUAUAUCUAGCUCAUGUAGAAUAAACAAACACACAACAAUAUGCACAGAAAAACUCAGUUUAAAAGAAAUCCGAGUCCGAUGACAAAAAUAGUAAACAAAAGAAACUACACAAAAUGAAUAUGAUUCAUAAAUUAACAAAGAACUACUAGCAGUAACUGACAUGCCAGCUCCAGACCCCAAUCAAACAUAUCGAAAGAAUAUAUAGAUAUAAGAAGAUGUGGUAUGAGUGCCAAUGAGACAACUCUCCAUCCAAGUCACAGUGUGUAGAAGGAAACUAUUAUAGGUUAAAGUACCCUCUUCAACACGAAUCCUUGGCUCACACCGAAUAGCAAGUUAUAAGGAUCCUCC